rnacentral:rRNA from 1 species
GACGAACGCUGGCGGCGUGCCUAAUACAUGCAAGUAGAACGCUGAAGGAGGAGCUUGCUUCUCUGGAUGAGUUGCGAACGGGUGAGUAACGCGUAGGUAACCUGCCUGGUAGCGGGGGAUAACUAUUGGAAACGAUAGCUAAUACCGCAUAAUAGUAGAUGUCGCAUGACAUUUGCUUAAAAGGUGCAAUUGCAUCACUACCAGAUGGACCUGCGUUGUAUUAGCUAGUUGGUGAGGUAACGGCUCACCAAGGCAACGAUACAUAGCCGACCUGAGAGGGUGAUCGGCCACACUGGGACUGAGACACGGCCCAGACUCCUACGGGAGGCAGCAGUAGGGAAGCUUCGGCAAUGGACGGAAGUCUGACCGAGCAACGCCGCGUGAGUGAAGAAGGUUGUCGGAUCGUAAAGCUCUGUUGUAAGAGAAGAACGAGUGUGAGAGUGGAAAGUUCACACUGUGACGGUAUCUUACCAGAAAGGGACGGCUAACUACGUG